UUGGAGGGCAAGUCUGGUGCCAGCAGCCGUGGUAAUUCCAGCUCCAAUAGCGUAUAUUAAAGUUGUUGCAGUUAAAAAGCUCGUAGUUGAAUUUCGGGAUUGACGUGAUGGUCAUGCCUUAAGGGGUAUGAACUGUUGCUGUUGAUUUCUCACCUUCUGGAGAAACUUGAUGUCCUUAAUUGGGUGUCUUGCGGAUCCAGGACCUUUACCUUGAAAAGAUUAGAGUGUUUAAAGCAGGCAUUUUUGCUCGAAUACAUUAGCAUGGAAUAAUAGAAUAGGACGGCAUGGUUCUAUUUUGUUGGUUUCUAGGAUCACCGUAAUGAUUAAUAGGGAUAGUUGGGGGCAUUAGUAUUCGAUUGUCAGAGGUGAAAUUCUUGGAUUUAUUGAAGACUAACUACUGCGAAAGCAUUUGCCAAGGAUGUUUUCAUUAAUCAAGAACGAAAGUUAGGGGAUCGAAGACGAUCAGAUACCGUCGUAGCCUUAACCAUAAACUAUGCCGACUAGGAAUCAGACGAUGUUAAUUUUUUAAUGACUCGUUUGGCACCUUACGGGAAACCAAAGUGUUUGGGUUC
rnacentral:rRNA from 1 species